ensembl:lncRNA
GAGAAAGGUUUGAUUUGGGAGUGAAAGGGUAGCCCUGAGGAGUAGUAGGGGAACGGGCAGCAGAGAGAAAUAGGAGCCUCAGAAAGUAGAGAGAAAGCGCUAAGGUGACAGUCAUCGACUGUGCCCCUGGAGGCCAAGCCUGGGAUAAGCCAUCAGCAUUGGCCAUGAGCACUCGACUCCUCAGCCUGGCCCAGUCCAGCCAUCUCCCCGGAGUGGAGAAAAAAACAGAAGAAUCUGGGGAAGGAAACACUCCAAGUGCCUACUUCCUCCUCCCCUUCUCAAUAGUUAUUUCAGAAUGUUUCUUAUGUGAGUAGGGAGGGAACUGAUCCCGGAAGCUACACUGCCAGGGUGCUGAGGGCUUUUCACUGAAAGCAGCGGAAUCUCACUGCUGAGUGUGGAGAAAGACUCCUCUGAUUUCAGAAGAUUCCUGAGCCCUGGAAGUGAACCAGGCAUAACAAAAAUGUGAAGUCGAAGGCAGCUGGGAAAGCUAGGCCCCUUCCUGCCCACGGCCAGGAGGACAGGCAUCCUGGAUGUUCUAGAAUUCAGUGAACACAGUCCUGGCAUCCUGGAUGUUCUAGAAUUCAGUGAACACAGUCCUGGAUACAGCAAAAUUUCAUUCUGGUGUUGUAAACUGUGCACUGCCGAGCAUCGUAGCUAAGAGUUUUGAUAUGUGUGGCACCUGUAUAUAUCACUGGAAAAGUUCGGAGGGCAAGAGAGGUAACUGAGGCUUGGAGAGGAAAGCUGUCACUUGCCCAUGUUCACUCCGAAUGCAUGACUGCGUGGGCUGGGGGAUGAGACCUUCUGAUGUCCAGUCUCGGCCACCAGAGGCAGGACCGUGAGAGGCCACAGCUUUGUCCACUCCUGUUAGCACAGACUUCUGGAGCCUGUUAUCCAGUUUGAAUUCUCGGCUUCACCACUUACUAACGGUAACCUGUACUCGAAACGCCGGAGGCUAAGCAAAGGAUCAUAAAAGGAACCUAUCAUCUGAUUCUUCCGCUGUUCCUGGUGAUUUCUUUACAUGAAGGCAAAAAGUAACACAGGAUGGUUUGCUACUUCUCACAUCAAACUGAGCCGGAGCUGUAAUUUACUAAGCAAACCAAUGCAGGAAAUUUUGCUAGAGUGUCCAAUAGACUGACUGGUUUAUAAAAUGGGAGGAGGGGGCAGGCAGAGGAGGCUUCUAUUUCUGAAGAUGAGGAUGAACUGUAUCCAGACUGCAACAGGCAGGAAUGUGUGCAUGUGUUGUAAACAACAGGAAAUGGGCCCUGCGCGUCUGGACAUCUGACUUGGAGCAUCCUUAAACAGCUCUGGAAUCAAAGUCUUCUCUGGGGGCUCAUUACAUUUCGGUUUUAAAAGUUAGCUGGCAAUGUUUAGGACUAUUUCCAGACCCCAGUUAGAAAGUGACUGGACUCUCUAAAAUCUCGCUCUGAGGUAGUGAAGCUGGCAAAGCAAGCCUGCCGUCUGUUUCCCAGAGUCUGUGCUCAUUCGUGACUCAAGCAGCCAAAUUAGGGCAAAGUGCUAGUGGCCUUCUCGUUUUCCUUAGUCUUAGGACCACCAGGUUUUUAGGGGGAUGAUAAAAUUUACCCAGCUAAAAGGCUAUAUUUAUAUUUCCCAGACCCACCAAAAUUGUGUGUGGCCAUAUGACAAAUUCCUAGCCAGUGAAAUUAAGUGGAAGUAUUUUGUGUGACCCUGAGAAAGUAUCUUAAUAGACAGCUGAUGUAAACACUUUGCUCACUCUUUCCUUUCCCACAUUCUGCUGCCUAGAAUAUGGAUAGGGUGGCUGGAGCUCUACCAGCCAUUUUGUACUAUGAGGGCCAGAGUCGCACUCUAAGGAAGGCAGUGGUGACUAGAAGGAGCCUGGACCCCCAGGUUCUUUGUGGAGCCGGCAUAUCAAUCCAAAGUAUCCUAUCUCUGCACUUCUGUUAUGUGUAAGAGAAAUAAACUACUUCUAUAUUAUCUAAGUCAUGAUUUUUAAAGUUUUUGUUUUAUGCAGUCGGAACUAAUCCUAAAUGAUACACCAAUGUUUGCAUAAUCUUCCCACAUUGUGAGAUUGAAUGACCAAGAGUAAGUACUCCCAUAAAGUCUUAUUUGAUCUAAGUUUCUUAAAAUUAUUUUGAAACAACAAACAAUUUAUAAUAAGAUUGACACUGUAUUAGGUCUUAGCUGACCAAUUUUGAUUUCAUACGGUGCCUCCAUUCAUCGAAGGGGUUUUUUAAUGCACAUUGGCAGAUCUCAUCAAACGAAGAGAACGAAAUUCAGGUGCUCUAUGUGCUUUUUCAUUUAAAACUUAAAAGACAUCUGCAAUCAUUGGUGCACAUAAAUAGAGACCCUGAUCUUCAGGCUCCUUUAGCAGAAUAGUCAAUAAUUCUCAGCUAAUAGAACAUUGCAAAAAGUUCCGGGAAGUCCCUCUCUCUUCCUAGGCUUCUGAUUUCUCUGAUACGAUAGUAUGCGCUGACUGGCUCUCCAGCAGCCAUUCCUAGCGUUCAAACUAGAGAAACAGUUACUUGCUGCAUGUGGUAAUCAUUGCUGCUGCUCACCAAGUGCUUCUCACUCUCCGUCUUCCAGACACCUGAUGGAAUUGUACUUCCUGGAUCUUUUUGGUUCAGUAGCGCUCUGUUCUGGCCAAUGGAUUGUGUCACUUCCAAGUUCAGCGUCUAACAUUCAUGUGAGACCCAGCAGAGUUGUAUUUUUUCAUUUGCCAUAGUAUUGAGCAGUGUAUCAAGUAGUGUAUCAUAGCAGUGGCUGCCCAUCAGCUGUGUCUGGGAGGGAGGGAGAUGCCACCACAGAGCAGAGUCCCCAGGUGUCUCCCACUGGACAUGCGGUGUGAACAAGAAAUAUCCCUAUUUUGCUUCAAUCCCCUGAGAUUUGGAGACUGCUUGUUACUGCAGCAUAAUCUCUGUCAUCCUGACUGACACACACCAUUCGGAAAAGCCUCCUGAGGAUGGGGUAAUCACGCAGGGCCUCAAUGAGACAGUCUCUGGUUCCAGUAACCAGGAAGAGCUGUGGGUGAAAGUUCCCUCUGAUUUGACACAUACACUUAACCCCUUCAACGUCAAUAAAUUCUGCUCAUAAACUUUUUUGUUGAGCAGUUUCCCAUAACAUAUCUAUCUACAAAAAUCUGUCAGUAAGCGAAGCAAUCCUCAUUCCUCAGUGACUUCAGACUCAUCAAACUUAACGGCGGAUCCCGGCAUUUAGAUUCCAUGUACAACGAGCUCCACCGUGUGGUGUUUAGAAUGAAUGACUAUAAAAGCAAGGUCACAUACCCAAUACCACCGCACACCCCUUGAGAGAGGGACUGUGCCUGAUAAAAGAAGUCACAUCCCGCUCGCUUGGGCAUCAAAUCAAAAACAAGACAGAAAAUGUUCCUGUCCUGUGAGCCAGGAAGCAGUAGAGAGGCUGGCUUGUUUAUUUCUUCAUUCAACUAAUAAUUAUCAGGCCCUACUACGUACCAGAUACCAUUCCAGGCUCUGGGGAUUUCACAGUGAACAGGACAGACAAAGUUCCUGCCUGAGCUGGAAAGACAGACGACAGAACAAGACAAAGUCAUAUAUGCUAUAGUGUCAGAUGUGAGAAGUUACAUAACCCAAAAUAAAUCUGGGAUAGGGCAUAGAGGGCGACGGAGGAGGGAUUAUUUUAAAUAAAGUUGACAAAAGUAAAGGCAAACAGUCCACGUUUAGCCCUCCCAACGUCCCUUUAGAUAAAUGAUCCAAAUCUCAACUAUAUGUAAAUAUGAACAUUCUCUUGCAGACUUAAAAUGUUAAAAUGCUUCAAGAUGCCCAAAUCUUGGUUUCUAAACAUCGCUCUGUCUCAGUCCGUUCAGGCUGCUAUGACCAAAAUACCAGAGACUGGGUGGUUUAAACAACAAACGUUGAUUCCUCACAGUUCUGGAGGCUAGGAAGUCCAAGAUCAAGUGCCAGCAGAUUCGGUGUCUGGUGAGGGCCCCUUCCUGGUUCUUAGAUGGCCAUCUUCUCACUGUGUCCUCACAUGGCAGAAAGAGCAAGGGUGCUCUCUGGGGUCUCUUUCAUGAGGCCACUAAUCCUCCUCAUGAAGGCUCCACCCUCGUGACUUAAUCCCUCCCAAAGGCCUCACCUCCUAAUGCCAUUACAUUGGGUGUUAGGAUUUUAACAUGAAUUUGGGAGGGACACAAAUAUUCAGCCUAUAGCCGCUGCCUGAAAACAAACCACGACUCUUUAGAGAAACCACUGAUUUUUCAGGUCUGAGUCAGGAAAGGGACAAGAAGAUCCUGGGACAUACUGUUAUGCCAGAAAAUGCAGACGCAUUCAAAGACUAAUAACAGGGUUGUGCUAGUCUUUAACCUGCCACAGAAAACAGGUUAUAGGGCUUCCAACUGCCAAAUGGGGGGCUGCUUAAGUAUCAUGAAGAGUAAUAACUCUAACCGAUAUUACAUUGAUGAUUAAAAUUCAUGAGUUUGUGGUGAUAUGUUUUUAAAAAAGGGAAAGAGGCUCUGUUUUAUAGAAUGCCAAUAGAAGAUAUUAUAGAAUCAGAGAAUCAUGGAAUACCGAUUCAUGCAAGGAUCAUCUUGAAUGUUAAUUUCCUGUUGCUGAUGUAACAAAUUACUACAAACUUAGUGUCUUAAAACAAGACAUUUAUUAUUUUAUACUUCUGGAGAUCAGAAGUCUAAAAUGGGCCAGCACAGCCGCUUUCCUUCUGCAGACUCUGGGGAGAAUUUGAUUCUUCCUUUUUCUAGUUUCUGAUGUUCUCUAUACUCCUUGGGUCUCAUGGCCCCACAUCACUCCAACCUCUGCUUCCAUGAUUGCAUCUCCUUCUGUCUCACUCUGACCCUGUUGUGUCCUUUUUAUAUGGACCCUGUGACAGCAUUGGGCUGACCUGGAUAAUCCAGGAUACUCUCCCCAUCAUAAGAUCCUUAAUCAUAUCUGCAAAGCCCCAUGUGUUAUAUAAUGUGAAGUACACAAACCACUUAUAAGAUAUUCUUGCCAAAAAGGUUUAACUUGAAUCUAAUCAAGCCUUUAGCCCUAACUUCCAUCUUACAGAAAUGACGCCAUAGUUAAAUAAUCAGACAUUUGGGAUGUGGGACUUGCUGUAUGUCCACUACCCUAGAUGCCUCAAAAUUGCAAUGUCAUAAAAAAGGAUGGGGAUAUUCUAAAAUUUUUAAAAAGACAAAAGACAUAGUAACCAAAUGCAAUAUGUGACACUUGAUUGGAUCUUGGUUCAAAAAGACAUUUUAAAGACAAUUGGUGGAAUUUUAAGUUUGGCUUGAUGAUAUGGAAUAUUGCUAAUGUUCUUAUGUUUAUAUCGGAUAAUGUCCUUAUUUUUUGGAAAUGCAUCUUGAAAUAUUUAGAAGUAAAGUUUAUGAUGUAUGAACCUUACUUUCAAAUGGUUUAGAUAAAAGCAGUGUGUGUGCAUGUGUGAUAAUUGCAAUUUAUAAUAAGAAAUACGAGGGCCGGCCCCGUGGCCGAGUGGUUAAGUUCACGUGCUCUGCUUCGGCGGCCCAGGGUUCGGAUCCUGGGCACAGACAUGGCACCACCCAUCAGGCCACAUUGAGGCGGCAUCCCACAUGCCACAACUAGAAGAACCCACAACUAAAAUAUACAACUAUGUAUUGGGGGGAUUUGGGGAGGAAAAAAAAAGCAGGGAAAAAGAAAAAAAAUUACAUUUAAGAAAUACGUAUUUGGUCUUCAUCUUGGUUCUUGUCACAGGGCUCCUAAAACCCUGGGAAUUUCCCAAGUGAUAAGAGUGAUAGAGGGGUCUUGAUCCUCAUUACAAACCCCUUCUGACCACACCUGAGUUUAUAUUGAUGCGUUCACUUUGGGAGAACCUAAGGACGGGGGCUGGUUUCCAGGAGAAUCAACCUGUGAUUAGAGGUCUGGAACUUUCAGCCCCACCCCUCUGACUUCCACGGACGGGAGAGGGGCUGGAGGCUAGAUUGAUUGCUGAUGGCUAAUGAUUUAAUCAAUCACGCCUAUGUAAUGAAAGCCUCCAUGAAAACCCAAGAGGAGCAGGUUCAGAGAGCUGCCGGGUUGGUGAACACCCGCAGAUGUGGAGAGUGCGGCAGCUCAGAGAGGAUGAAGCUCCACGCCCCUCCCCACGUACCUUGCCCUAAACAUCUCUUCCACCUGCUUUUCCCGAGUUAUACCCUUUUAUAUCAAAUGGGUGAGAUAGAAAGUAAAAUGUUUCUCUGAGUUCUUUGAGCCACUCUAGCAAAUUAAUGGAACCCAAGAUGAGGGUCAUUGCGACCUCCAAUCUACAGCGAAGUUUUGAAGUCAUCACAAGCCCAGGUGAUAACCUGGACUUGCGAUUGGUGUGGGGGUGUGGAGGUGGGCGGGUGGAAUCUUGCAGGAUUGACCCCUUAACCUGUGGAAUCUGCUAUCUCCAGGCAGAUAGUGUCAGAAUUGAGUGGAAUUGUAGGACACCCAGCUGGUGUCCCACAAUUGCUUAGUGGUGUGGGGAACCCCCACACAAGACACACACUGGAAUCCGGUACCAGAUUUGUGCGUGUGUGUGUGUGUGUGUGUGUGUUUGUGAAAAGAGAGAGAAAGAGAAAAAGAGAGACAGAGAUGAAACAAUACGGCAAAAUAUUAACAUUUGUUGACUCUAAGAGGAGAGUAUAUAGUUGUGCAUCAUACUUGUAGUAUUUAAUUUUAUCUGUCAACUUGGCUAGGUCAUGGUAUGCAGAUAGUUGGUCAAACAUUAUUCUAGAUGUUUCUGUGAAGGUGUUUUUUAGAUGAGAUUAAGAUUUAAAUCAGCAGACUGAGUAAAGCAGGUUAUCCUCCAUCAUGUGGGUGGGCCUCAUCCAAUCAGUUGAAGGUCUUAAUAGAAAAAGACCGAUUCCCCAGAAGAAGAAGGAAUUCCCCCAGCUGACCUGCUUCAGACUUGAACUGCAGCAUCAACUCUUCCCUGGGGCUCCAGCCGGCUGGCCUGUUGUGCAAAUUUUGGACACACCAGCCUCUACAAUUUCAUGAGCCAAUUCCCUAAAGUAUCUCAAUCUCUCUCUCUCCACAUUAUACACAUAUGUGUAAUCUGUAUAUAUAAUAUAUAUGUAAUAUAUAUAGCGCAUAUCUAAUAGGAUAUAUAUGUAGAUAUCCCAUUGGUUCUGUUUCUCUGGGGAACCCUAAUGAAAUAUCCUUCUUUCAACUUCCCAGUAUGUUUGACAAUAUUUCUAAUAAAAAGUUAGAAAAAAAUUUAAAUUUUGGUAAAUAUAAGAGCCCUCAGGAGUUUUAGGUGCAGUGUCUUGGUGCUCAUAGCUAUGCUUGUAGCAGAGAAAAUUAGCCCUUAUGGAGAGGAGUCUGAGUCUAGCCAGAUUGAAAUUAUGCACCACCUGUCAGUUUGCAAAUAGUUUUGAGGCUUUGCUCUGCUGGGGGCUGUGCUCGGUGCGGGGCGAGGGAGUGGCCACUGAAAGCGGUCCUUGCCAACCUCUUCCUGUGGCAUCGCAGCACCACACCUGCAGGCCAAGUUCAUGGGGACAAAGUACAGGACAUCCGACCAGCGCUUGGUCUCGGGAGAGUGCUCUUGGACACAGGAUCUCGG